rnacentral:snoRNA from 1 species
AUGAUCCAAUGAUGUUUGAUAUUACCUACAUUGUCUGAUUAUAAAUAAUGUGAAAUUAUGUGAUUAGAACAUUGAAUGAAGCUGAGGAUCAU